rnacentral:rRNA from 1 species
UACGUAGGGGGCGAGCGUUGUCCGGAAUGAUUGGGCGUAAAGGGCGCGUAGGCGGCCCGGUAAGUCUGGAGUGAAAGUCCUGCUUUUAAGGUGGGAAUUGCUUUGGAUACUGUCGGGCUUGAGUGCAGGAGAGGUAAGUGGAAUUCCCAGUGUAGCGGUGAAAUGCGUAGAGAUUGGGAGGAACACCAGUGGCGAAGGCGACUUACUGGACUGUAACUGACGCUGAGGCGCGAAAGUGUGGGGAG